rnacentral:rRNA from 1 species
GGGCAACCCUGGCGGCGAGCGGCGAACGGGUGAGUAAUAUAUCGGAACGUACCCAGACGUGGGGGAUAACUAGUCGAAAGAUUAGCUAAUACCGCAUACGUCCUGAGGGAGAAAGCGGGGGAUCGCAAGACCUCGCGCGUUUGGAGCGGCCGAUAUCUGAUUAGCUAGAUGGUGAGGUAAAGGCUCACCAUGGCGACGAUCAGUAGCUGGUCUGAGAGGAUGAUCAGCCACACUGGAACUGAGACACGGUCCAGACUCCUACGGGAGGCAGCAGUGGGGAAUUUUGGACAAUGGGCGAAAGCCUGAUCCAGCCAUUCCGCGUGAGUGAAGAAGGCCUUCGGGUUGUAAAGCUCUUUCGGCAGGAACGAAACGGUGAGAGCUAAUAUCUCUUACUAAUGACGGUACCUGAAGAAGAAGCACCGGCUAACUACGUGCCAGCAGCCGCGGUAAUACGUAGGGUGCGAGCGUUAAUCGGAAUUACUGGGCGUAAAGCGUGCGCAGGCGGUGACUCAAGUCAGAUGUGAAAGCCCCGGGCUUAACCUGGGAACGGCAUUUGAAACUAGGUCGCUAGAGUAUGGCAGAGGGGGGUAGAAUUCCACGUGUAGCAGUGAAAUGCGUAGAGAUGUGGAGGAACACCGAUGGCGAAGGCAGCCCCCUGGGUUGACACUGACGCUCAUGCACGAAAGCGUGGGUAGCAAACAGGAUUAGAUACCCUGGUAGUCCACGCCCUAAACGAUGCCAACUAGGUGUUGGGGAAGGAGACUUCCUUAGUACCGUAGCUAACGCGUGAAGUUGGCCGCCUGGGGAGUACGGUCGCAAGAUUAAAACUCAAAGGGAAUUGACGGGGACCCGCACAAGCGGUGGAUGAUGUGGAUUAAUUCGAUGC